AGCGAACGCUGGCGGCAGGCUUAACACAUGCAAGUCGAGCGGGCACUUCGGUGUCAGCGGCAGACGGGUGAGUAACACGUGGGAACGUACCCUUUGGUUCGGAAUAACGCUGGGAAACUAGCGCUAAUACCGGAUACGCCCUUUUGGGGAAAGGCUUGCUGCCGAAGGAUCGGCCCGCGUCUAAUUAGCUAGUUGGUGGGGUAAUGGCCUACCAAGGCGACGAUCAGUAGCUGGUCUGAGAGGAUGAUCAGCCACACUGGGACUGAGACACGGCCCAGACUCCUACGGGAGGCAGCAGUGGGGAAUAUUGGACAAUGGGCGCAAGCCUGAUCCAGCCAUGCCGCGUGAGUGAUGAAGGCCUUAGGGUUGUAAAGCUCUUUUGUCCGGGACGAUAAUGACGGUACCGGAAGAAUAAGCCCCGGCUAACUUCGUG
rnacentral:rRNA from 1 species